UGGGGAAUUUUGGACAAUGGGCGAAAGCCUGAUCCAGCCAUGCCGCGUGAGUGAAGAAGGCCUUCGGGUUGUAAAGCUCUUUUAGUCGGAAAGAAAGAGUUGCAAUGAAUAAUUGUGAUUUAUGACGGUACCGACAGAAAAAGCACCGGCUAACUACGUGCCAGCAGCCGCGGUAAUACGUAGGGUGCGAGCGUUAAUCGGAAUUACUGGGCGUAAAGGGUGCGCAGGCGGUCUUGCAAGUCAGAUGUGAAAGCCCCGGGCUUAACCUGGGAAUUGCGCUUGAAACUACAAGGCUAGAGUGCAGCAGAGGGGAGUGGAAUUCCAUGUGUAGCAGUGAAAUGCGUAGAGAUGUGGAAGAACACCGAUGGCGAAGGCAGCUCCCUGGGUUGACACUGACGCUCAUGCACGAAAGCGUGGGGAGCAAACA
rnacentral:rRNA from 1 species